rnacentral:rRNA from 1 species
CCCUACCGUAACCGUCCCUUCGGCGGGCCGGGCGCCUCUCCGGGCGCCUAGGCCCGGCGCCCCGCGCGGGCGCCGAGCCUCCGCCGGAGGCAACCNAAAACCGAGUCUUUUAGUGGCCUCUCUGAGUACUGUGAUCUCUGAAUCAGUCAAAACUUUCAACAACGGAUCUCUUGGCUCUAGCAUCGAUGAAGAACGCAGCGAAAUGCGAUAAGUAAUGUGAAUUGCAGAAUUCCGUGAAUCAUCGAAUCUUUGAACGCACAUUGCGCCCGCCAGCACUCUGGCGGGCAUGCCUGUCCGAGCGUCAUUUCGACCCUCAAGCCCCCGCGGCUUGGUGUUGGGGCGCCGCGGCCGCAGCGGUCGCGCGCCCCGAAAGGCAGUGGCGGGCUCGCCCCGGACCCGAGCGCAGUAGCUAUACCUCGCUCCGGGCUCCGCGGCGGGCGCCAGCCCAGCACAAGCAACCAAAGG